AUGCCAAAGCGACUGUUUACUUCUACAAAGUAUGAAGACACCAAAGGAUCUAUUGAAGAAGCCACGAACCUCAGAAACGUGGUCAAGAGGCAUAAUGUGGUGCACAACUCUCCUGUAGUGCUUUGAGUGCAAUUACCUAACACUUGGAAGAGUGUGAGAAGGAGUGAAGAUAACCCGAAAAGUUGCAUACUCAGACAGUGUUGUAAGACGCUUCUCGUGUCUACUGCUGGCGCAUUAU
rnacentral:lncRNA from 1 species